GAUGAACGCUAGCUACAGGCUUAACACAUGCAAGUCGAGGGGAAACGGCAUUGAGUGCUUGCACUCUUUGGACGUCGACCGGCGCACGGGUGAGUAACGCGUAUCCAACCUUCCCAUUACUGUGGGAUAACCUGCCGAAAGGCAGACUAAUACCGCAUAGUCUUCGAUGACGGCAUCAGAUUUGAAGUAAAGAUUUAUCGGUAAUGGAUGGGGAUGCGUCUGAUUAGCUUGUUGGCGGGGUAACGGCCCACCAAGGCUACGAUCAGUAGGGGUUCUGAGAGGAAGGUCCCCCACAUUGGAACUGAGACACGGUCCAAACUCCUACGGGAGGCAGCAGUGAGGAAUAUUGGUCAAUGGACGGAAGUCUGAACCAGCCAAGUAGCGUGCAGGAUGACGGCCCUAUGGGUUGUAAACUGCUUUUGAAUGGGGAUAAAGUUAGGGACGUGUCCCUAUUUGCAGGUACCAUACGAAUAAGGACCGGCUAAGUCCGUG
rnacentral:rRNA from 1 species